rnacentral:sRNA from 1 species
AUAUGCACAAACCGCGGGGAGUCCAAACCCCCAAAAAAGGCCAACAAAGAGACGUCUGAAAUCAAACUAGGAUCGUGAAGCAAGGAUGGAAAGAAGCCGGACCUGAAGGCCUCAAGCGGAAAAUAAAAUCGUAUCCUAACGAAUUAUUCACCGGCGACCUGGGCUUCUUGAAAAAAAAUAUAUAGUUUACUGCAAAGGCAGCCAACCCCUCUCACGGUGUGAAAACCGACCCCUCACCAGACCCGUUUAUUCCAUGAGCCAUAUCCCUGUAACCAUUUAGCUAGAUCUACCCGAAGCCUUCGAACCCGGCAUAGCGUUGGCCAGUUGGCCAACAAGUGGGGCGACCUCACUCUGUGUCUGUGAUAUGAAUAUGGCUAAACGCCCACGG